rnacentral:rRNA from 1 species
GGUGAGUAACGCGUGGGUGAUCUGCCCUUUGGUUGGGGAUAGCCAUUAGAAAUANNGGGUAAUACCGAAUACGUUCGCAUGACCACGGUCAUGCGAGGAAAGGCGCUACGGCGCCGCCGGAGGAUGAGCCCGCGUCCCAUUAGCUAGUUGGUGGGGUAAGAGCCUACCAAGGCGAUGAUGGGUAGCCGGCCUGAGAGGGUGUACGGCCACACUGGGACUGAGAUACGGCCCAGACUCCUACGGGAGGCAGCAGCUAAGAAUAUUCCGCAAUGGACGAAAGUCUGACGGAGCGACGCCGCGUGGAUGAUGAAGGCCGUGAGGUUGUAAAAUCCUUUUGUCGGGGAAGAAUAAGCGUGGGAGGGAAUGCCCGCGUGAUGACAUG